rnacentral:tRNA from 1 species
GCCUCUUUGGCGCAGCCGGCAGCGCGUCAGUCUCAUAAUCUGAAGGUCGCCAGUUCGAACCUGGCAGGGGGCA